GGGAUUGUUUUAUGUUACGUGUGAUAGGGGUCAGAAUUUAUGUACGUAGUAGUUUGUGCUACGUGUUGGAUAGGCAUUAGGGUUGCCGGGCUGCGCCCCGUUUAACUUUGAGAGUGGAGUCGUUCUCUUAGUUUAUCUUUUGUGAACCCUGUCUUGUAUUUUGGAUUUUUGCCCGUUGGCAGUAUUAAAUACGUUUUUGUUCAACGGACCUCCGUCUCCUGCGCCUGACUCAUCCCUCCUGUUAUUUACUGCCCGUGACACUGACGGUGAAGUAGACAUGCUUGGUAUUCAUAUCACAAAAUACAUAAAUGAGCUCUCCACAAUGAAUUUCAAAAGACAACUUGUAAAACAUAGACAAGAUCCUGCAACCAUGGAGGUCAUGGACAGGACACACCAGACAGGACCCACCGGACCUAAAGCCAUCAUUUUGGGUGGUGCGCACCCCAGGCUGGCAAACUUGGAUAAGCUGUUCUUUGUCUUUGAUGUGAUGUUCCUCAAGAUGACAUUCUGGUGAAAUCAAUCCUAAUUUAUUCUGACCAACCACCUGCCUGGCUCAGAACCAGUCCUGCCUGGCCCAGUCCACUGCUUCUUGCCCCUCACUGUGCUGGGUAACACAGGGUCACAAACUAUAACGGGCUGGAAAAGUAAAUGAAAGAAGUUGUCAUUGAGUUUCAAGAUAGCAGGUAACUGGCUAUGCAGCCUCAAAGACAAGAAUAGGCACACAAAAAGGGCAAGGACAGAUUUUCUGACCAGUAAGCCUUCCUACCAUUGGGGCCCAGGAUAGUGGAAGUGGCUUCUAGAUUUAUACCUGCCUCCAUAAGGCUACUGAGUGAGUGCUGCACUGUCCUCCUAGUCACCCUGGCUGCCUAUUUAGCAAUUUAUGGAUACAUUUAUUAAUAGGCUACACCUGCAUGCACUGUGUUUUAUUUGAAUGUAAUAAUGCACUGUUGUGUGUUUUAAAUUAGUGUGCUUGAUGUAUCUGACAGCACAAAUUAAAUUCCUUCUGGGAAAAUAAAGUUAGCCACACAUGUUUUGCUAUGAAGUGAGAGAGUUUUGGCUAGCUAUUGUCCAAUUUAAUGGCUCAUCAAGGCGUGAACUGUGACCAGCCUCCAUCACUACUGUAAGCC
rnacentral:lncRNA from 1 species